CCUACGGGUGGCAGCAGUGGGGAAUAUUGGGCAAUGGGCGCAAGCCUGACCCAGCAACGCCGCGUGAAGGAAGAAGGCUUUCGGGUUGUAAACUUCUUUUCUGAGGGACGAAGAAAGUGACGGUACCUCAGGAAUAAGCCACGGCUAACUAGGUGCCAGCAGACCCGGUAAUACGUAGGUGGCAAGCGUUAUCCGGAUUUAUUGGGUGUAAAGGGCGUGUAGGCGGGAAAGCAGGUCAGAUGUGAAAACGCAGGGCGCAACCCUGGGCCUGCAUUUGAAACUGUUUUUCUUGAGUGCUGGGGAGGCAAGAGGAAUUCCGGGUGUAGCGGUGAAAUGCGUAGAUAUACGGAGGAACACCAGUGGCGAAGGCGGAUUGCUGGACAGUAACUGACGCUGAGGCGCGAAAGCGUGGGGAGCAAACAGGAUUAGAUACCCCAGUAGUC
rnacentral:rRNA from 1 species